rnacentral:ncRNA from 1 species
AGAACCCGUUGGCAAACUUGCUGAAAGGCUAGGACGCAAAGCUCAGGGUCUAAGGUUUCUUGCCUAAGAGACUAUGACAGCCUGGCCGCCGAA